AAAUUUUGGUAAGAAUUGAGAGUUAAUGACGAUGAUUUUGAUCUGAAUCUGUUCUGUCUCUUUGCUCUUUCGAUCGAUAUCGCUUUGUUCUGAGCUGAAGAAGUGAUAGAGUUCUACCAUGGAGGCCAUCAGGAAGCAAGCAAGCAAGCUCAGAGAACAAGUCGCAAAACAGCAGCUGGCCGUUCUGAAGCAAUUGGGACACCCAGUUAAUGAAGCUGUUAUACCUGAUGAAGCGGAAAUUCAGUGCCACCAAAAACUUCAGAAUCUAUAUAAUUCUACCAGAUCAGCUAAGCACUUCCAGAAAGAUAUUGUUAGGGGUGUUGAAGGUUUUAUUACAACUAGUUCAAAGCAAAUGGAAAUAGUGAGAAAAUUGGCCGAAGAUUGUUGCAGAUAUGGAAAUGAGAAUCAGGGAUCUGAUUCUUCUCUUGCUAGGGCCUCUUGUAAGUUUGGUAUUUCACACAGUUCAAUGGAGAAAGAGAGAGAGAAUUUGCUUAGAGUUCUUGGUGAUCAGAUUUCUGAGCCACUACGGGCAUUAGUAACAGGAGCUCCACUGGAGGAUGCUCGGCACCUAACUCAUCGUUUUGAAAAAAUCCGCCAAGAGGUGGAAGCUCAGGCGGCUGAAGUUUUAAGGCGGCAGUCAAAGUUAAAGGAAGCUGGAGUUCCUCCUGAGAGUGAUGCAAAGUUUCAAAAUGCAGAAGCAAAAUUGUCUGAGCUUAAAUCUGCUAUGAUGGCACUGGGGAGAGAAGCAACAGCAGCAAUGUCAUCAGUUGAGGCGCAACAGCAGCGAAUCACUUUGCAAAAACUUUUUACAAUGGUAGAUGCCGAGAGAUCUUUCCACAAGAGUGUUUCUGCAAUUCUAGAGAAACUCUAUGCUGAGAUGGUUCUGGAGAAGCAGCACAGUGAAUCUAUAUUUCCGCCACCUAGUUCAGUAACAGAUGUGGAUUUUCCACUUCCACAUUCAGAUACUAUUACCAACAGAUCUGGUGAUGUACCUUCAGCUGAAAAAGAGACAUAUUUUGUUGCAGAACUCUCAACUGUUCUUCAUGUAGGUAAUACACCCAUUUGAUGCCCAAGCAGAUGGGGAGUUAAGUCUCUUUGUUGGUGACUAUGUUGUGGUUCGCCAGGUAGCUCCUAAUGGCUGGUCUGAAGGUGAGAAUGAGGGCAAGGCUGGAUGGUUUCCCUCUGCUUAUAUUUGUAGACGAGAUAAAUCUCCAACAAGCAUGGUAAUUGAAUAAACAUAGCCAUCCUGGUGCCAAACCUCCCCACUUAAUUAUAUUGUAUAUGCAUUCCCAUGUGCUGUUCCUUUUGUAUCUACCACAUUGUAACAAGUAUACUUCUUGGUACGUUGUAAAUAAACCUCAAGCUUUUUGUAGAUACAUGAUAAUGGUGUGAAAGAUUGCCUUGUAAGUCUUGAUGUGUUCUUAUGUGUUAAGAGGGUCUAUAUCCUUUACUUCUAUUUUUGUUAACAAAUGAUUAUUAUGUGAUUGUAGCAGAAG